AUGAUAGAAGAAAGCCACAUGUGGCAGAAUGCAAAAGAUAAUGUGAUUAAAUGGUUAUUAAGAGUGCCCCCUACAGUAGCUGGUCCCAUGGAAGAGACAGAUGAAGGUGAAGAAACUGUUCCUCUCUUUCCGGAGCCCAGGGGGAGAGGUAAGAGAUCUGCCUCACAAGAACUAGCUCGGCUCUUACGUAAAGGUCACAGUGAGUAUGCAAACUACACAGGAUAUCAGAAUUAUAUACUUCCCAUCAAUAGUACAUAUUUUAAUUGGACCUUUUUCAGCCUCCAUAAUGAACUGGGCCUUCAGCCGCAAGGCUGGGAACUACAUAAGAUAAGACACACCCUCUACACAGAAUGGGUUUAUCAGGUUCCUAAUUUCAAACAUCUGGGGGUAGUACAAUGGAUGAAAAAGAAUCAAUCUGAUCCCACUAACUUAGACACAGGGUUUCAUGCAUGGAACGAGGAAACCAGGAAUUGUUUAAUUAAUAAGGCUAAUAACAGCUCUUUGUGGCAAGGUGGGGAACCUCUCAGACUAAGAAUAGCAGGAGCAUAUUACCAAAAAGGAACAGCUACUCCUGAUAAUAUAAUUGAGGCAGACUCCAUAUUCGAAGCAGUAAACGAAAUGAUUAGACCAAGCCAUAAGAAAGAUUUUUAUCACAGUCCCACAUGGGCUAGAAAUUACACAUUGAUGCUUGAAGGAUGUCAGGCGGAAGUCUGUAAUAAUACUAAAGGAUUAACUAGAAGAAUGUGUAUUUUUUGGUAUUCAAAAUUAUAUGGAUUGACAAUCGGAGGUUUGCGUCCGGACACAUUAGGAGAUCGAGAAUUUUUUAAACCUAGAUCCCCUUGUUUAAACAUAGCUACUUUAGGAACUGGAGAAUUAAGCUAUAAAGUCUUGCGUAGAUAUAUGCAAAGAAAUAUUCCAGAAGACUAUAGAUAUUGUAGAAAAGGAAUGUACGAGACAAAUCCUAUGACUUACUGGUACGGGGAGGGAUAUAAUAAACAAAAAUAUGAUUAUUAUCCCCAGGACACACGGAUUGAAGCAGAAACCUUUGAGAUAAAAUUAAUAGGGAUGAAAAUGCUGGUGUUAGAAAACGGACAGUUCCGGGUCAAGACAAAUUGGUUUUCGAUAGAUAAAACGAACACCUGGGAGAUUAAUAAUACAAAAACGGGGAAUGGCCUCUUAGAUCGCAUAAUGAUUAUGGGUGAUAAAGUUGGAGACUUAGUGCCCCCAGGGUUCAUGACCCCAGGGACAACCAAAUGGGGAGCAUUCAGUCUGGUAAAUUUUAAUUACUUUAACGGAUUAGGAAUAGAUCAUCAUGUGUGCUUUAAUGAGCCCAGAAUAGGGAAGAAUCCUCAACCUGAAAGAUUCACAAUUGACCCUGACACGCCCAAAGAAUUUCCUAACUUUAGAGAUUAUCCAAAUUGGGACUUAAGGAGUGGUUAUUGUUCGGCUUUCCGAAGAUCGUUGGAUCAGCAAAAAGCCGACUGGUUUGACUAUUUUGCGUAUGGAAUUAAUGGCACGCUUAGGGGAGUCAGUUUAGUUGUCAGAGGAGUGGGGGAAAAUGUGAGUGACAGUGUAGUGCAAGUCUCAAAUAAUGUAAUUCAAGGAACAAGCAGUUCAGUGGAGACAUUAAUUAAGGGAGUGAGAGAAAAUAUAAUUGCCCUCGUCUGGGAUGCAUUAUUUUGGCCAUUAUGUGCACUGGGAUUAAUGUCAGGGGUGAUUGUUUUAUUGAUAAGUAUGAUUUUGGCCUGUAAGCAUGACAAGUGGCGGUUGACAGGAAGUAAGCUGUUUAGAGAUAAGAAGCCUGGUCAGCAGGACCAUGAUAGGUUAGGAGAAGGGAUGACAGGUAGUGGGAGCAGCAGCCCCCUCUGUGUGACUUCUGUUUAA
ensembl:lncRNA